rnacentral:rRNA from 1 species
GACGAACGCUGGCGGCGUGCUUAACACAUGCAAGUCGAACGGAAAGGCCCUGCUUUUGUGGGGUGCUCGAGUGGCGAACGGGUGAGUAACACGUGAGUAACCUGCCCUUGACUUUGGGAUAACUUCAGGAAACUGGGGCUAAUACCGGAUAGGAGCUCCUGCUGCAUGGUGGGGGUUGGAAAGUUUCGGCGGUUGGGGUUGGACUCGCGGCUUAUCAGCUUGUUGGUGGGGUAGUGGCUUACCAAGGCUUUGACGGGUAGCCGGCCUGAGAGGGUUACCGGCCACAUUGGGACUGAGGUACAGCCCAGACUCCUACGGGGGGCAGCAGUGGGGAAUAUUGCACAAUGGGCGGAAGCCUGAUGCAGCAACGCCGCGUGCGGGAUGACGGCCUUCGGGUUGUACACCGCUUUCGCCUGUGACGAAGCGUGAGUGACGGUAAUGGGUAAAGAAGCACCGGCUAACUACGUG